rnacentral:rRNA from 1 species
UACGAAGGGGGCUAGCGUUGUGCGGAAUCACUGGGCGUAAAGGGCGCGUAGGCGGCUUUUCAAGUCGGGGGUGAAAGCCUGUGGCUCAACCACAGAAUUGCCUUCGAUACUGUUAGGCUUGAGACCGGAAGAGGUGAGUGGAACUGCGAGUGUAGAGGUGAAAUUCGUAGAUAUUCGCAAGAACACCAGUGGCGAAGGCGGCUCACUGGUCCGGUUCUGACGCUGAGGCGCGAAAGCGUGGGGAGCAAACAGG